UUUUUUUUGUUAGGUGGACAAAGCAAAAGUGAAACAAAAGAGAGCGUUUUAGCAAUUCCUCGAGUUCUUCCUUCUUCUUUGCCGUUUGUACCAUGGUCCGAUAUGCUCGAUUUCUUCUUCUUCUUUCUAUCCAUCAAAUUCAAUACUCGAUGGAAGCUUCACGCCGGAUCUUUGUAUUGUUUUAAUACACUCUCUCUGUCUCUACAACACGCUAUCACUAGAACUCUUGAUUGAUUCCUCGCCGAGAUAAGGGAAUUGAGAUGCUCUCUCUUGGAUCAUUCAAGACUGGUGUCAUCCUUUUGGCAGGACUAUUUUUCUAUGAUAUAUUCUGGGUUUUCUUCACUCCGGUUAUGGUUAGUGUUGCCAAAUCCUUUGAUGCUCCAAUAAAGGUAUUUUUUGUUGCACUUGCUCUAAGAUUUGAUGUGUCAAGAUGUAGACAACCACAAUACUUCAAUAGAUGGAAGAUGGUGUUAUAUAGUGUUUGAGGUUGCAGGGUAUUACCUAAAAGAUGUCAUCCUUAGAAUUAUUUUUUUCUUUUGGUGAAAAUCAAGAUACGGACGGUGAGAAUCAACGGGAGCAUGAGCUAAAACUCACGUCGACACAGAUUCAUUAACCAAAUUUGAGUUAGUGGAUUAUAUGACCCAGUUAGAAGAAACUUCUCUCGCGGCACACUCGGAUCUUCUCUUUGGUUGAAAUCGAUUUCCUUAUCGAUUCAACUUGCGGUCGAUAGUCUUGUCUUGAUUCUUCUUUUCUUCUCUCCUUCUCUUUCGCGAACUCGUCCACCCUUCUCUCUUUUCUCUCUCGCUCACUUUCUCUCUCAAUUUUCUCUCCUUACCCCUUUUGUGUUUUUUGCGAAAUGAGAGAGGUGAGACCUUAUUUAUAGAGGACUUGGGCGGUGGAGAUGGCCAAUGCAUGAGGUUCUCUUCUUCUUCUUAGUGCAUGUUGUUAACACUUGUGUGUGUUUAACAUUAACACUUGGCCACUAAAACAUUGUUUAAUCUCCACUAAUCCACCUUGAAUUGUUUAAUCCUUCCACUAUCUCCACUAACUCCUUCUUGAUUUGUUUAAUCCUUCCACAAAUUCCACUAACUCUUCUUUGAUUAAAAUAAUCUCCACUUUCACUUGACUUAGUUGAUUUUUGGUGAAGGAAGAUUUUCUUGUUGGUUCGGUUCGCGUCUCUCGGUCGAUCGUCGGUCAGCUCUCGACAAUUCUCGAUGCGUCUCGGCACUCUCGGCAACUAUCGGACUUUCUUGGCAAUUCCCGGUAGCUUCUUGGACAACUCUCGGUCCUUCGGACAUCCUCGGACAACUCGGACAUUUCUCGAUCCGUCCAGAUUUUCUUGGACUUUUCUUCAUCAAAUUUUCUUCUCUCCUUGUUGGCUUCCUUUCUUGGUCUUUAGGCUUAGAGUUUUUAUUUUGCAAUUUACCUCUGGGUGAGGGUCAUUACAAUGCGUCUCUCUCUCUCUCCUUCUCUCUCUCUCUAUUCUAUCUUUUCAAAUUUAUUCCCUAUCCUAAUUUUUAACCUCGUCUCUUCUUCCAAAGAGUUCUCGAUGACCUGAGAAUUUGAUUUCAGGAUCUGUAGAUUUUAAUGAAAUUCUUGUUCGAAUUAAUCAAAGGUGAAUUUGGUGAGAUUGCUUUGCUUCUUUAACAAUGACCUAUGCUUUUUCCAUGUCUCUUGCCGCACGAGUCUUGUGUUUUCUUCUCUUUAUGUUUGUUUCAUCGAAGACAAAACUUUGUGACGACUCUUUUGUUUCUUCUCUCUAACUGAAUUCAAGAGCAGUCUUAUAGUGUGAAGGAGAAGAACAAACAAUUAGAGUCUUAUAGUGUGAAGGAGAAGAACAAACAAUUAGAGCCGUCAUGUUUUCAAUGUUGAGGCUGAUGUGUCACACAAGGAAAACAACACAUCCUUCUUUUAUUGUAUUAACCAAAUUUGAGUUAGUGGAUUAUAUGACCCAGUUAGAGGUAUAUGCCCCAUCAUAUGUUUCGGUCGGUUCGGUCGGUUCUGAAUUGAACCGAUUAAGUAGUUUGGUUUAAAAUGAUUUUGUUUUUUUUUUUUUUUUUCCUUUUGAAAUGUUUGGUUUGUUUCACAUAAAAUAUAUGGUAGUCAAAGUGAAACCGAUUUUUUUUUUUAUCUUGAUUGUAAUUUUAGUUUAUAUACGAUGACUUUGAUACA